rnacentral:misc_RNA from 1 species
AGUUCUGCUGUAACUGUGUAGCAUAUAUGUGGUUAGAGCACAUACUUAUUACAGUCCCAAACCUUCCUGUGAAGUAAACAAGAAAGGAAAUGCAAACCAAUUAAAUAACUCCUUUUUCUUUCAAUGUUCGUAGUAUUGGACGUCAUUAUUAACCAGACAGAGCACUUUGAGCAGUUAGUAAUUACAAGAAAAAAUGUGACUGCAUUUCACAACUUUGGGAACUACAAUAUACAGGAUAUAUGUGGAAGAUUGCUUAAGUUUUUAGACCUACCGCCUGAUAUAAAUACAGUUCAUGUUAUCUAAUAAAGAACAUUUGUCCAGAAUGGGUACCAGUAACAAACCGAGCUGUAUUUUAAUACAUCUAGUUUUCUUGAUCAUUUUAUACGUAGAUACUUGUAGUGGCCAACAUACGAAUGAAACGCGGUGGAUCAAAAACAUCUACUCGAACUGUUCUGAUGAUGUUUAUCAAGGAUUAUUGGAAAAAGUCUCGACCUGUAUUAAAGAUGUCGCUCCGAACAUGCAAACAUUUCUGGAUAACUUAAAAAUCGAUAUUGCUUACAAAGAUUACGCAAAAAUAUGCCAGAAAUUCGCCACCAGUUUGAAAUGUGUCGAAAUAUUUUUUAAUAACAAGUGUAUGGAAAAAGCAAAGCUGUUGACAACGCAAAAGUUGGCAUACUCAGCGGUCUUCGACUACCUAUGUGCUGAAAAUCAAAAGAAAAUUUCUGAAUUCUUUGAAGGGUUGGAUGACCAGUGUUCCAUUCAAGAAAACGACCAGUCUACUGCAUGUUUACAAGGGUUCCUUCCAGCAACAAAUAUUGUUUCUUCAUUCUCCGACAUUUGCAACAAAACUGGAAACAUGGAGAAUUGCCUACAGCAAGCUCUGUCCAAGUGUACAGAUAAAAGCAGGGGAGUGCUAAUAGGUGCAGUGCGUGUCUAUGAAAAUAAAGUAUGUGAAGAACAACAUACGAAGACAGUAACUGAAGAACCAAGCACAGCAUCACAAACCAUUCCAACCAGUACCUUAAUACUGGUGACAAUAGGUGUGGAGCUGCUGAACCGUUUCAAAUCUUCCACGAGAUGAUAGCUGUAAAAACACACCAGUUCUUCGUUGAGUAAUUAAGAUUAAAUCUUGUGCAUCAUUUAAAAUAACAAUGAUAUAUGUUGUAUCCUUUCGAAUAUAGGACUUUUGGAACUGAAGUUUCUUUUGCUCAACAAUGUUUCGGUACUGAGAUGCGGUUGCGCGAACCUCCACAACCUACGUUUCAUAAAGAGAUCAUCAAGAGGACGUAGCUUCUUCGGUACUGGUCUCUGUCUCAUUGGUUUCUGCUUCACGUGGAGUUCAUAUGCUCCAUCAGGAAA